AGAUGAAGUCUUGACUCCAUGUAGGAGCCACCCACUUUGGCUAUUAAAAGUCCCCAGAGCUCUGCCCUACUAGGGAAAGAGAGAGAUAGGCUGGGAGUAUGGAUUGACCUGUCUACACUGAUGUUCAUUGGGGAAGCAAUUACAGAAGCCAGACCUUCCACCUUCUGCACCCCAUAAUGACCCUGGGUCCAUACUCCCAGAAGGUUAAAGAAUAGGAAAGCUAUCAGGGGAUGGGAUGGGAUACAGAGUUCUGGUUGUAGGAAUCGUGUGGAAUUGUACCCCUCUUAUCCUACGGUCUUGUCAAUGUUUCCAUUUUAUAAAUAAAAAUAAAAAAAGUCAAAGUCUAGUACAUUAACCUGGGGGUAAUACUGAGAGAGUCAAACAGAAUUUCUUUGGGAUUCUAGGACAGGAAUUCCCAGAGGUGCUAAUAGUAUAAAGACAAAUUUUAAGGAUGGGGGGUGGUUUUUAAACUAGCCUGAGUACUUUGAAUUUGUGUCUUCACUUGUCAUAGCUCAUCAGAACUUGCUCUUGUCCAGGAAAUCUUCUCUGCUCAACCCAGCCUCUUUCUGUGUCUGCCCUCCUUGAGGCCUUGAAUUCUCAGUGGCACUAACUUUCAUGGCUACCUGAGCUAACAAGUCAGAAUGACCUUUCAGCUUCCACAGAAUGAGACCAGGUAGAGUUGUUCUGCCAGCCAAGUGACCUGGAGUGACUUAACCUCACAGCCAAGUAAACUCUGGGAUCCAAAAGACCUAUGGUCAUCUCCCCCAAGAGUGCAACAAGAACUCAACAAGAUAAUGCCACAGACCUCAUAGAAGGACACCAUUAUACCUCAGUGACCUCUGAAUAUUCAGAGCCUGGCAGGCUGUCUGACAGAUAGUGAGUGCUCAGUUAAGGUUGGGCAAAUUACUCAGAUAUGUCACAUUAAAGUGAACUUCAGAACUUGUGCUGGGACAAACAUGCUUUUAUGAUACCCUCUUGAGACUGAAUGAGGCAAAACUGCUGGCAGGUGUUUUAGGACUGUCAAGUAUCCACUCUUGAAAAUGGCAAGUUGAGUGACAGAAAAAUCUUGUGUUCUUGUUGGCACUGUUAAGCUACUGGAUCAAGCCUUUCCUGAAAGACUUAUAAAAAAAUUGUGAGCCAAUAAGUUAUCUAUAUUGUUUAUGACUGUUUGAAUUGGGUUUUCUGUUUCUAAUAACCAAAAUCAUCCUUAUGGAUACAACCUGUACAUUUCUUUACCUUCUGUAGCUGUCACUUCCUUUCCAUGGGUGGGGUGACAUCGGCUCAGGACACAUUUCCUCCAUGAGCAUAUGGACUCUGUGAGAACUAGCUGACUCUGCUGCCUGUCGGAAACCAGACCACCCAGGAGUCGAAAGAUUAUGGAAACAUAAAGAAAACCAAAGCAGGGAAAAAAUCCAAGUGAAUGCUUCCAGAAUAACCAAAAAAGAAAAAAAAAGUGAUGGCACCUUUAAUAGCAAAAUAAUUGACCCCCACACUCCUGAUUGACAUAUAUAUAUAUAUUCAUAUCUAAGCCACCUGAAGGGUGUAUUGUUUCUGCAGAUUGCUUCUUCCUUCUGACUGCCAGUAUGAAGCACCAUAGACUGCUCUCUUUUUUCCUUUUCUGAAAUUAUCUCAGGGAUCUCACCUUUACUAAGUAGAGGUGGGCUACGGAGAAACCCAUUUAUUGGCAUUGAAUCUUAAAAUAAGAAAACUGAUUCCUGAGUUGGAGCCUGUUUCUGUACCUUCUGCUUUCUUUAAAAAAAUCUUUUUUUUUUUGUUAUUAAUAGUAUGUUACAAGAUUACAAUGUAUAGUUCUAUACCACCAGCACCAUCAAAGUUCUGUACUACCACCCUCCCCAAAGAUAAUCACCGUAGUUCUUUUUCUUACAAGUCUUACAAACAAUUUGCUUGCUCCUGUUUUGGAGAUUUUUCUUUCUUUCUUUUUUGGCAAGUUCAUAUGAAUCAGAUCUCUAGAUUCCACAUUUGAGUGAAACCAUCUGAUAGUUGUCUUUCAUUUCUAUAUUUUGCUAAGUAUAAUCACCUCCAGUUACAUCCAUUUUGUCUCACAGGACACAAUAUCAUAUAUUAUUGUUUAUUACAGAGUAGUAUUCAUGUACCUUUUUCUUUCUAACAUCUUGAGUGUUUUUUUGGUUCCUUUUGAUCUUCUGAGUUCUCAGUGGCCUUUUGAUAUAUUUCCUUAUACUGACACUGCUGCUUGCAACCAGAGUGUUCAUUGAUAG